UGCUACCAUGCAGUCGACGGUGAAGCCAAGCUUGCUUGGUGGAUCAGUGGCGAACGGGUGAGUAACACGUGAGCAACCUGCCCUGGACUCUGGGAUAAGCGCUGGAAACGGCGUCUAAUACUGGAUAUGAGACGUGAUCGCAUGGUCGUGUUUGGAAAGAUUUUUCGGUCUGGGAUGGGCUCGCGGCCUAUCAGCUUGUUGGUGAGGUAAUGGCUCACCAAGGCGUCGACGGGUAGCCGGCCUGAGAGGGUGACCGGCCACACUGGGACUGAGACACGGCCCAGACUCCUACGGGAGGCAGCAGUGGGGAAUAUUGCACAAUGGGCGAAAGCCUGAUGCAGCAACGCCGCGUGAGGGAUGACGGCCUUCGGGUUGUAAACCUCUUUUAGCAGGGAAGAAGCGAAAGUGACGGUACCUGCAGAAAAAGCGCCGGCUAACUACGUGCCAGCAGCCGCGGUAAUACGUAGGGCGCAAGCGUUAUCCGGAAUUAUUGGGCGUAAAGAGCUCGUAGGCGGUUUGUCGCGUCUGCUGUGAAAUCCCGAGGCUCAACCUCGGGCCUGCAGUG
rnacentral:rRNA from 1 species